AGAAGGACGUCCCCAAGCCCCGGAUCAAGAUCAUUGAUUUUGGGCUGGCCCAGCGCCUGGAGGAUGGCGUCACCUUCAAGAGCCUCUGCGGGACUCCGCAGUACAUCGCUCCCGAAGUGAUCAACUAUGAGCCGCUGAGCUCCGCGACUGAUAUGUGGAGCAUCGGGGUCAUCACUUACAUCCUG